UACGUAGGGGCCUAGCGUUGUCCGGAAUUAUUGGGCGUAAAGAGCUCGUAGGCGGUUCGGCAAGUCGGAUGUGAAAUCUCCACGCUUAACGUGGAGGGGCCAUUCGAAACUGCUGUGACUCGAGUCCGGUAGGGGAGUGUGGAAUUCCCGGUGUAGCGGUGAAAUGCGCAGAUAUCGGGAGGAACACCAAUGGCGAAGGCGGCGACCUGGACAGUGACUGACACUCAACUGCGAAAGCGUGGGGAGCAAACAGG
rnacentral:rRNA from 1 species